ACACUGGUACCGAGUCAACCGCCU
rnacentral:siRNA from 1 species